GCCGGGAUAGCUCAGUUGGUAGAGCAGAGGACUGAAAAUCCUCGGGUCACCAGUUCAAAUA
rnacentral:tRNA from 1 species